rnacentral:misc_RNA from 1 species
UUUUCUUUUUUUUUUUUAAAUAAAAGUUGACCCAUUAACACAUUCAGAUGUUAAUAACAUUGCUAUCAUUCUCACCAAUAAGCCAGUUCCAUCAUUUUCAUGGCACACACAACAUGAAAAAAAAUUUCAAACCAAGAUUUAAUCACAAAAUGUGCAAAACCCUUACUGAUGUACCAUUAAUAAACAAUAAAUGAAUGCAGCCAGAGACAAUAAAUAUGAAGACAAGAUAAUGCAUGAAGCAAACCAACUCAAACUUUUGAAGAUCAUAGGACAUUUCCAACAAAAUAUUUAAGUGAACAUUGUAUAGCAAAAAAUUCAUCGUCUUGCACAUUAUGGAGUCUGAGGUUUACUGAAGAGAUUACUAAGGCACAAAAAACUACACCAGAGCAAAUAAUGUCAUUACAGAAUAUUUUGGACAUUCCUGCAAUCUUGUUGGGAUGCACACAAUUACUUCAAAAAUACUGUCUGUACACCAAAAAUAAAAUGAGAAAAAUCUAUAUUUAUAGCAUAGCAUCUUAAAGUUAGCCUAUUAGACUCAAACAGAAGUCAUGCCUCUACAAGUUUGGCUAUAUCAGUGUUGUUAGAAUUGUACGAUUUGACUUGAAUCCCUCCCGAGUGAUUUGAAUUUAUAGGACAAAUCGCAAAUAUACAUGAAUCAGGCAAAUCAAUACGAAUAGACCGACUCACCUUAUUCUUUCCCUAUUGCAUUUUUAACAGUAAACAAAUUUAAAAAUCAAACUUUAACUUUAAUCUUAGCAAGAAAGAACAAUCAAACCCAGCCACAAGUAAUCUGCACUAAGACUAAAAUAUAAAAAAUAUUAAAAAAAAAAAUUUACAUACAAUAAAUAAAACCAAAUGACUCUUUAUAUAUGAUUCAUCUAUGUCCUCUACUAUUUCGGAAUUCUCCCACUAUUCCAAUGCUUCCCCAAGCUAAUGGUGACUUGCCACGUACAAUUAUAACACUAUCUUCCCUAGAUUUUAUAAUUUAUAUUG